GAUGAUGACUAUAUACAAAAGAGUUCUUUGUAUUUUAACUUUGCCAUCAAGUAUGAGAAUCACUAAACAAAAUAUCUUAGUUUUUAUUCCUGCUCUUUAUAUUCUCAAUGCAAACCUCACUGAGCUUAAAUUUGCCAUUCAUCUUUCUGAGAUUGUUAAAAUAAAAAGUACCAGAGGUCAAUAUAAUCAAUUAUUCCCUUUGCAUCCCCACCCCCAUAUAGCAGUCCCUAAAAUGAUGCCCCAUAAAAGCAUCAGUCAGAGUGAACUACCCUUAUUGUCUCCAAUCCCAGUAACACUAUUGGGAAAUUUAUAAAGAUGGCUGUUAUAUU